CCUACGGGAGGCAGCAGUGGGGAAUUUUGGACAAUGGGCGCAAGCCUGAUCCAGCCAUGCCGCGUGUGGGAAGAAGGCCUUCGGGUUGUAAACCACUUUUGUCAGGGAAGAAACGGUCUGAACUAAUACUUUGGACUAAUGACGGUACCUGAAGAAUAAGCACCGGCUAACUACGUGCCAGCAGCCGCGGUAAUACGUAGGGUGCAAGCGUUAAUCGGAAUUACUGGGCGUAAAGCGUGCGCAGGCGGCUUUGCAAGACGGAUGUGAAAUCCCCGGGCUCAACCUGGGAACUGCAUUUGUGACUGCAUGGCUAGAGUACGGUAGAGGGGGAUGGAAUUCCGCGUGUAGCAGUGAAAUGCGUAGAUAUGCGGAGGAACACCGAUGGCGAAGGCAAUCCCCUGGACCUGUACUGACGCUCAUGCACGAAAGCGUGGGGAGCAAACAGGAUUAGAUACCCUGGUAGUCCACGCCCUAAAUGAUGUCAACUGGUUGUUGGGAGGGUUUCUUCUCAGUACGAAGACGACGCGAGUAGUGACGCGNGGAGGUACGCGCGAGUAGAACGACAGAGAGUAGACGNGNGAGAGCGACGACGACGACGACGAGGGAGGAGG
rnacentral:rRNA from 1 species